UACGUAGGGGGGCAAGCGUUGUCCGGAAUCAUUGGGCGUAAAGCGCGUGUAGGCGGCUUCGUAAGUCCGUUGUGAAAGUCCAGGGCUCAACCCUGGAAUGCCGAUGGAUACUGCGGAGCUAGAGUCCGGAAGAGGCGAGUGGAAUUCCUGGUGUAGCGGUGAAAUGCGCAGAUAUCAGGAGGAACACCAAUGGCGAAGGCAGCUCGCUGGGACGGUACUGACGCUGAGACGCGAAAAGCUAGGGGGAGCAAACGGG
rnacentral:rRNA from 1 species